GGGGCGUGGGGUGGUCAGCGAGGGGGCCGGGUUGCGGCGGGGGAGGAAGAGGGGCCCGGAGCCCCGCAGGCAGGCGCCUGUGAAGCCAGAAGCUGCCGGAGGUGCUCCCCGCCGAGGCCACCCCACCGCCUGCACUGACAGCACGCCCGCCAGCCGUCCACAACAGCCAGCGCUGGAGCCAGGAGCCAGGAGCUCCAUCCGGGUCUCCCACGUGGGGGCGGGGCCUGCCCAGCGGGCACCCGGGCCUACACAAGCGGCUCUGGAAUGGCCGACUCAGCACCAGGAUCUUCACCCGCAGUGCGGGCCACACAGCGGCAGCGUGGCCCAG